rnacentral:rRNA from 1 species
AACGAACGCUGGCGGCAUGCCUAACACAUGCAAGUCGAACGAGACCUUCGGGUCUAGUGGCGCCCGGGUGCGUCACGCGUGGGAACCUGCCCUUAGGUUCGGAAUAACUCCCCGAAAGGGGUGCUAAUACCGGAUAAUGUCUUCGGACCAAAGAUUUAUCGCCUUUGGAUGGGCCCGCGUUGGAUUAGCUAGUUGGUAGGGUAAAAGCCUACCAAGGCGACGAUCCAUAGCUGGUCUGAGAGGAUGAUCAGCCACACUGGGACUGAGACACGGCCCAGACUCCUACGGGAGGCAGCAGUGGGGAAUAUUGGACAAUGGGCGAAAGCAUGAUCCGGCAAUGCCGCGUGAGUGAUGAAGGCCUUAGGGUUGUAAAGCUCUUUUACCCGGGAUGAUAAUGACAGUACCGGGAGAAUAAGCUCCGGCUAACUCCGUG